UACGUAGGGGGCAAGCGUUUGUCCGGAUUUAUUGGGCGUAAAGAGCGUGUAGGCGGCCAAGCAGGUCCGCUGUGAAAACUCGAGGCUCAACCUCGAGACGUCGGUGGAAACCGUUUGGCUAGAGUCCGGAAGAGGAGAGUGGAAUUCCCGGUGUAGCGGUGAAAUGCGCAGAUAUCAGGAGGAACACCGGUGGCGAAGGCGGGUCUCUGGGCCGAUACUGACGCUGGAGGAGCGAAAAGCGUGGGGAGCGAACAGG
rnacentral:rRNA from 1 species